rnacentral:rRNA from 1 species
GUGUCAGCCGCCGCGGUAAUACGGAGGGUGCAAGCGUUAUCCGGAUUUAUUGGGUUUAAAGGGUGCGUAGGCGGCUAUUUAAGUCAGUGGUGAAAUCCUGCAGCUCAACUGUAGAACAGCCAUUGAAACUGAGUAGCUUGAGUAAUCUUGAGGUAGGCGGAAUGUGUAGUGUAGCGGUGAAAUGCUUAGAUAUUACACAGAACACCGAUUGCGAAGGCAGCUUACUAAGGAUUCACUGACGCUGAGGCACGAAAGCGUGGGGAUCAAACAGGAUUAGAUACCCUCGUAGUCC